GUGACAUAAUAAUAAUAGGGAAAAAGAAACAGAGGAAAAGCAAUAUGUCACCCGACAUUGUCGAUCGGGUGACAUAAUAACAAAGAAACAUAAGAAAAGCAAUAUGUCACCCGACAUUGUCGAUCGGGUGACAUAACUAGAUUUGUAAUUGCUAGCAAUAACGGAUGGCACCCUCGUUCCCCAAUUGCCAGGAUAACGGCAGCCAUUUUGAAAUUACCAAAGUCAAAGAGCGUAUCUACACAU
rnacentral:lncRNA from 1 species